rfam:Triticum aestivum genome assembly, contig: Triticum_aestivum_CS42_TGACv1_scaffold_603188_7DL
GAGGUACUCCCUCCGUCCGGAAUUACUCGUCAAAGAAAUGGAUGUAUCUAGACUUAUUUUAGUUCUAGAUACAUCCAUUUUUAUUCAUUUCCAUGACAAGUAAUUCCGGACGGAGGAAGUAUAUU